UACGUAGGGUGCAAGCGUUAAUCGGAAUUACUGGGCGUAAAGCGUGCGCAGGCGGUUCUAUAAGACAGAUGUGAAAUCCCCCGGGCUCAACCUGGGAACUGCAUUUGUGACUGUAGAGCUGGAGUACGGUAGAGGGGGAUGGAAUUCCGCGUGUAGCAGUGAAAUGCGUAGAUAUCGGGAGGAACAUCAGUGGCGAAGGCGGCCUUCUGGUCCAGUACUGACACUCAAGUGCGAAAGCGUGGGGAGCAAACAGG
rnacentral:rRNA from 1 species